GCCCUUAGAGUUUGAUCAUGGCUCAGAACGAACGCUGGCGGCAGGCCUAACACAUGCAAGUCGAGCGAGGACUUCGGUCCUAGCGGCGGACGGGUGAGUAACGCGUGGGAACGUGCCCCUUGGUACGGAAUAGUCCCGGGAAACUGGGUUUAAUACCGUAUGAGCUCUUCGGAGGAAAGAUUUAUCGCCAAGGGAUCGGCCCGCGUUGGAUUAGGUAGUUGGUGGGGUAAUGGCCUACCAAGCCGACGAUCCAUAGCUGGUUUGAGAGGAUGAUCAGCCACACUGGGACUGAGACACGGCCCAGACUCCUACGGGAGGCAGCAGUGGGGAAUCUUAGACAAUGGGGGAAACCCUGAUCUAGCCAUGCCGCGUGAGCGAUGAAGGCCUUAGGGUUGUAAAGCUCUUUCGCUGGGGAAGAUAAUGACGGUACCCAGUAAAGAAGCCCCGGCUAACUCCGUGCCAGCAGCCGCGGUAAUACGGAGGGGGCUAGCGUUGUUCGGAAUUACUGGGCGUAAAGCGCGCGUAGGCGGGCUGGAAAGUUGGGGGUGAAAUCCCGGGGCUCAACCCCGGAACUGCCUCCAAAACUAUCAGCCUCGAGUUCGAGAGAGGUGAGUGGAAUUGCGAGUGUAGAGGUGAAAUUCGUAGAUAUUCGCAGGAACACCAGUGGCGAAGGCGGCUCACUGGCUCGAUACUGACGCUGAGGUGCGAAAGUGUGGGGAGCAAACAGGAUUAGAUACCCUGGUAGUCCACACCGUAAACGAUGAAUGCCA
rnacentral:rRNA from 1 species